UUGGGGCAAUGUCUACAUAGGAGUUGACCUAU
rnacentral:piRNA from 1 species